AUCCUUUCUUAUUUCGUUUCCACGCACGGCGGCGGGGGGUGGGGGGGGAGACCCCCGCUCCCUUCCCCAUCACAGGCACCCACCUUCAUCUCCUCGUUGAUCUCCCGCUUCACCGGUAUGAAAAGUUGAGCGCAACUCCUUUGCUCGUUUCGUGACUGAAAUGAGCCUUGCUUGCCUGCUUCAGAUAACAGAGCGAUCCGAGACACAGCGCAUUUUCCCCCGUGGCACUGAGAACAGGAAGACACUGGGACCUGGCAUAGUCCUGGCUGUUAGAGCAGCGAGCAUAAAAAGUGACUACAGCCAGCCAUUUUCAUACACAUGGAAAAGACACAUGUGAACUUCUCCCUUGCUUCAGUUCCACCCAAUCCCCACUUCCACUUCAGUGAUGUUAUUUCACCCAUACCUUUGAGAAAGGGUACAUUCCACUCGUUCCUCAGCUUGGAUGAACGCCUGCAGCAUUACUCACACACAGUAGUGUCUGCAGAUUCUUUGCUGCUGUGGAUACUAAUCUCAAUCCAGAGUUUCCUUAGACGAUUAGAGGCUGUUCUGCAAAAUGUCAAGAGGUAGCCUCUCCAAAGCAGACACAGUAUGGCAGUUGAAAUGGGAGCAGUGGCGGCUUUCCAAAUGCUAAGGUCUGGAAAUGUUUGGAGGUAUUUUAAUAUUGAUGAGUAUUUCAUUUUUUAUGCUGCUUUAGAGUAUCAGUGUCAAAUCUGUGCAGAUUAAUGGCAAGAUAGAGCCUUAAUACUGUUAAUGCUUUUUAAAGUUCUGGCAAAGAGAGAAAAACUUUAUUUAACUUAUUAAAUCAUUAAUUAAUGAUUGCUCCUCUUGCUUGAAACUUCACAUAAUUUGAAAAACAGAAAGAAAUAUUAACUUGUUUCUGUGGUUCUUUGUUAAAUACUGCCAAGUCUUCUGUUAAAAUGCCUUCUUGUUUCUUGUUUCAUUUCUCAUGUUCCACACACUGA